UGGGGAAUAUUGGACAAUGGGGGAAACCCUGAUCCAGCAAUGCCGCGUGAGUGAAGAAGGCCUUAGGGUUGUAAAGCUCUUUCGCCCGCGAAGAUAAUGACGGUAGCGGGAGAAGAAGCCCCGGCUAACUCCGUGCCAGCAGCCGCGGUAAUACGGAGGGGGCUAGCGUUGUUCGGAAUUACUGGGCGUAAAGCGUACGUAGGCGGAUGCGCAAGUUGGGGGUGAAAUCCCGGGGCUUAACCUCGGAAUUGCCCUCAAAACUGCACGUCUUGAGACCGAGAGAGGUUAGGGGAAUUCCUAGUGUAGAGGUGAAAUUCGUAGAUAUUAGGAAGAACACCAGUGGCGAAGGCGCCUUACUGGCUCGGUACUGACGCUGAGGUACGAAAGCGUGGGGAGCAAACA
rnacentral:rRNA from 1 species